rnacentral:sRNA from 2 species
CCGCUCGUCAUCGGGGAGUAGCCGCCCUGCGCAAUGCAGGGGCGCGCGUCAACAUGCUUGGCCGACAGGCCAUGGCGCGUGCAGCUUUCAGGCCUGGCAAGACCUUUGACCGCGCUGCCUACGGGAAGGGCCGGGAGGCGGUGUGGUCUUUCGUCCGUCCGGCCCUGGAGUU